rnacentral:pre_miRNA from 12 species
CUCCUGUUCUGUGUAUGGCACUGGUAGAAUUCACUGUGCAACCCCGCGGUCAGUGAAUUACCAUAGGGC